AUGAUAGUUAUAAGGGGGACCCGUCGCCGACGGCACAUGGUGCGUCGCCGACGGGCUCGGGAAGGUCCCGUCGCUAAACAUUGCCCGUAGACAGACAGUUAGCGCGUCAGGUGGAGGGGUGCCGUCUCCCAAAACCUUCCCUAACAUCCCAUAACGUCCCAACCCAGGUUAUAAUAGUAAUUUAUCCAUAACCCAUUUCCGUUUUCAUCUAAAAGCAUAGCUCGAAAUCCUUAAAUCACUUACUUGUGUGGCGCUUAGAAACGAGCACACUUUCACGAGAGCGUAGGUUUGAGGGAUUCGAGCAUCGUACCUUCAUAUAUUAAAUAAUUUGCUAACCUUACUACCUUGGUGCAGUACUUGAACAUGCAGCAACGAGUCGGUCCUCUUCGUCCCCAUCCAUACCAUGUUUCGUAUUGACCUCAUUCAUCCGUGUGACGAGCUUUCGCUUAUGAACAUUCUUUCACUGACCUAGAUAGGUUUAUCACACUAUGAUAUCUGCCAUACUCAUUAUAAAAUUGGGGAUUAUCAUAUUUCAUUCAAGUUCAUUUAAACAUGAUGUUUAUUACUUCUCCUUGUUUACAUAUUACUACUUCCAAGAUUCUUUUUAAAGCACUAGUGUGUUAAGCUUAUUCAUAACGGGUCAAUACAUGACCAUUUCUUAAUAUAUAUAUAUCAUUCUCAUUGUUUGACCCGUUCUUGACGGGUAAACACAUAAUCAUUAUUUCGU
rnacentral:lncRNA from 1 species